rnacentral:rRNA from 1 species
AUUGAACGCUGGCGGCAUGCCUUACACAUGCAAGUCGAACGGCAGCACGGGGGCAACCCUGGUGGCGAGUGGCGAACGGGUGAGUAAUAUAUCGGAACGUGCCCUAGAGUGGGGGAUAACGUAGCGAAAGUUACGCUAAUACCGCAUACGAUCUACGGAUGAAAGUGGGGGAUCGCAAGACCUCAUGCUCAUGGAGCGGCCGAUAUCUGAUUAGCUAGUUGGUAGGGUAAAAGCCUACCAAGGCUUCGAUCAGUAGCUGGUCUGAGAGGACGACCAGCCACACUGGGACUGAGACACGGCCCAGACUCCUACGGGAGGCAG